CAUUUGUCUUCUCUACUUUUAUACUACGAUGAAACAGGUCAUUUACAUUUUUGUCUUCUACUUUUUACUACUGGGAAACCUGUCAGACAGUUACAUUUUGUCUUCUUCUACUUUUUACAAUAGUGAAAAACCGUCAAAGACAGUUACAUUUUCUCUUCUACUUUUUCCACUAGGAAACCUGUCAGUUACAUUUUCUCUACUUUACUACUACUAGGGAAACCUGUCAAAGAGGUUAAUGGUCUUCUUCUACUUUUUACUACUAGUGAAACCUGUCAGUUACAUUUUGUUCUUCUACUUUACUACUUGGGAAACCUGUCAAAGACGUUUACAUUUUCUCUUUUACUUUUACCACUAGUGAAACCUGUCAGUUACAUUUGUCUUCUACUUUUUUCCUACGAGUGAAACCUGUCAGUUACAUUUUGUUUCUCACUUUUUUACUACUAGUGAAAACCCGUCAAGAAGAUUACAUUUCUCUUCUACUUUUUACCACUAGUGAACCUGUCAGUACAUUUUGUCUUCUACUUUUUACUACUAGUGAAACCCGUCAAAGACAGUUACAUUUUGUCUUUCUACUUUUACUACUAGUGAAACCGUCAAAGACAGUACAUUUUGUCUCUACUUUUACUACUAUGGAAACCUGUCAGUUUACAUUGUGUCUUCUACUUUUUACUACUAGUGAAACCUGUCAGUUACAUUUUGUCUUCUCUACUUUUUACUACUAGUGAAACCUGUCUUCAUUUUGUUCUUCUACUUUUUACUACUAGUGAACCUCUACAUUUUGUCUUCACUUUUUACUACGUGAAACCUGUCAGUUACAUUUUGUCUUCUACUUUUUACUACUUGGGAAACCUGUCAAAGACAGUUACAUUUUCUCUUCUACUUUUUACCACUAGUGAACCUGUCAGUUACAUUUUGUCUUCUACUUUUUACUACUAGUGAAACCGUCUUACAUUUUGUCUUCUACUUUUUACUACUAGGGAACCUGUCAGUUACAUUUUGUCUUUCUACUCUUUUACUACUAGUGAACCUGUCAGUUACAUUUGUCUUCUACUUUUUACUACUAGUGAAACCGUCAAGACAGUUACAUUUUGUCUUCUACUUUUUACACUUGCAACGUAAGUUCCAUUUUGUCUUCUACUUUUUACUACUAGUGAAACCUGUCAGUUACAUUUGUCUUCUACUUUUUACUACUAGUGAAACCUGUCACGUUACAUUUUGUCUUACUACUUGUACUACUCAUGCUGAAACCUCUACAUUUUGUCUUCUACUUUUACUACUCGUGAAACCUGUCAGUUACAUUUUGUCUUCUACUUUUACUA
rnacentral:lncRNA from 1 species